rnacentral:tRNA from 1 species
UCCCUGAUGGGUCAGUGGUUAAAGAGUCUGCCUGCCAAUGCAGGAGACACGGGUUCAAUCCCUGAUCAGGGAA